UAACCCUCUCACUCUUCCCUCCCGCGUGUAUUUCCGCUAACAUACUCUACUCUGUAGCAGGCACCACCACCGCGCGCUCAUGGACCCUGACCCACGACCGCCGGCAGCGGCAGCGGCAGCGCAGGUGCGGCUCCUCCUCAUGGCCAUCGCGGCCGUCGCCUGCAUCAACGCCGCCGAGCCCCACCUCGCCUUGGCAGCCUUCGUCCUUUGGCUCGUCGCCAUCUUUCCCCCGCUCCACCGCCACGACUGAGGCAGCCGCAGGUUAGGAUUGCGACAUUUAGCCUCUUUGGUUCGCUGGCUAAUUUAGCAUAUUUUAUUAUAUUUUUAUGUUAAAAGUUAGUUCUUCAAUUUAAACGACUAAUCUUAGUUAAAAUGUGAUAUAAUUAGCUAUAAACUAGACAUGACCUUAAUUUUUUUGACAUAGUUAAAUCAUUAUUCACCGAUCAGUAAGACCAGCUGAGUCACAGUCACAGUCACCGGCAGAAUAUUUGGUAUACCAUUCUCUUCGUAAAGAUGACAAAAAGUAAAUAAAUUCUCUUCGUAAAGAGAGGCAAUAUAAUAUAAUGGGCCUCCUUGUUACCUGCUUGCUGCUAUACUGCACACGGUGCACAGAGGCAUGGACCUCUCUCUGCUACUCUCGCAUGGUCUGGGUCCGGGUCUGCGUCCCUGUCCCAGAUUACUGUGGUUCUGAUUUGCUUAUAGACUUACUACCCCAGCCCUAAAAACUACAAAUCUCGUUUUUAUUUGUCAAGAUAUCAAAAAAUCUUAAUUUUAAUCAUAUAUAUUAUACUAGUUGGUCGUGCACAGCGUGAAGGAGGACCACACACAGGAGGUUGCGCGGCGGCGGCGGCGACGCUGCCCUGGCGGGGGUGGUGGUUUGGAGGCAGCAGGUGCCCGCGUGUAGGGAGGGGGGUGUUGCCUCGGCGGGUCUCGCAUCUCAACGUCGUGGUUUGUGGAGAUUUACGGAGGCGAGAUUUGCGGAGGCGGCUGAGGCCCGGCUGGACGGGUGCGAGGGAGAGGCUGUCGCGGGUGGUGGCAGGGGCAUGCAAGAUUUGUGAAGGCGGGGCAUGUAUACUAAUGUGGAUGUCUAUGUUGUGUUCUUGUAGAGUAGUAUAUAUAUAAAUAGAUAUUAAUAUAUUUAUUAAAAUAUAAUUAUUGUUUAUUUAUGACCACUAACGUGGUCUAGUGGUUAGCCCUAAAUUUAUAGAGAAGGGGUUGUGUGUUUGAG
rnacentral:lncRNA from 1 species